UACAUGGGGUGCAAACGUUGCUCGGAAUUAUUGGGCGUAAAGCGCACGUAGGCGGUCCGUUAAGUCGGAUGUGAAAGCCCCCGGCUCAACCGGGGAAGUGCAUCCGAAACUGGCGGGCUAGAGUACGAAAGAGGGUCGCGGAAUUCCCGGUGUAGAGGUGAAAUUCGUAGAUAUCGGGAGGAACACCGGUGGCGAAGGCGGCGACCUGGGUCGAUACUGACGCUGAGGUGCGAAAGCAUGGGGAGCGAACAGG
rnacentral:rRNA from 1 species